rnacentral:rRNA from 1 species
UACAGAGGGUGCAAGCGUUGUUCGGAAUUAUUGGGCGUAAAGCGCGCGUAGGCGGCUUUGCAAGUCGGGUGUGAAAGCCCUCAGCUUAACUGAGGAAGGGCGCCCGAAACUGCAGAGCUUGAGUACCGGAGAGGAUGGCGGAAUUCCCCAAGUAGAGGUGAAAUUCGUAGAUAUGGGGAGGAACACCGGUGGCGAAGGCGGCCAUCUGGACGAGUACUGACGCUGAGACGCGAAAGCGUGGGUAGCAAACAGG